rnacentral:misc_RNA from 1 species
UUUCCGUAGGUGAACCUGCGGAAGGAUCAUUACCGAGUUAGGGGCCCUCGGGCUCCAAACUUCAAACCCUUUUCUUAGAACCUUUUGUUGCUUUGGCGGGGCGGUCCCCUCUCAUCGCCCCCCGCCGCCUUCGCGGGCUCCGCCCUCCGCCCGCGAUUUUUCAAAACCUUUUUGAUAACUCUUCAGUCUGACUCCAAAAAUAGUAAAACGCUAAAAUAAUAUCAACAACUGAUCUCUCGGUUCUGGCAUCGAUGGCGAACGCGGAAAACCCGAAGAGGC